UACGAAGGGGGCUAGCGUUGCUCGGAAUCACUGGGCGUAAAGGGUGCGUAGGCGGGUUCUUAAGUCAGAGGUGAAAUCCUGGAGCUCAACUCCAGAACUGCCUUUGAUACUGAGAGUCUUGAGUUCGGGAGAGGUGAGUGGAACUGCGAGUGUAGAGGUGAAAUUCGUAGAUAUUCGCAAGAACACCAGUGGCGAAGGCGGCUCACCUGGCCCGAUACUGACGCUGAAGCACGAAAGCGUGGGGAGCAAACAGGGAAUUAAGAAACCCG
rnacentral:rRNA from 1 species